UUUAAAACCUAAUACAACUUUCAACAACGGAUCUCUUGGCUCUCGCAUCGAUGAAGAACGCAGCGAAAUGCGAUAAGUAAUGUGAAUUGCAGAAUUCAGUGAAUCAUCGAAUCUUUGAACGCACCUUGCGCUCCUUGGUAUUCCGAGGAGCAUGCCUGUUUGAGUGUCAUGAAAUUCUCAACCUUUCUGGCUUUUAUAAGCUGGUCAGGCUUGGAUUGUGGGAGUUGCUGGUUUCUUUUGAGAUCGGCUCUUCUUAAAYGCAUUAGCAAAAUUCUUGCUGGCCAUCUUUGGUAUGAUAAUUAUCUAUAUCAUUGAGACACAGCUUCUCCACUUCAAUGGGAUUUCAGGCUCUGCUUGGAUUUUUAUCUCCAAGUGUUCGAUUCAACCGAUCUGAAGCACUAGCUUAGGCACAGACGUUAACUCGUUUGAUGGUGUUGAAUACUUCAGGUUGACGAAGCGCGGCGUUCUCAGGAGCGCUCACGAGAGCAAGCAGCAUCAUCYGUGAUGUGUGCACUGUCAUAUUCCUGUACCUACCCUAGNUACUAUGUGGCUUUUAUGGGUCUGGUCUAACCAUGACCUGAACAUAUCCUUAGUGGGAGRAUCUUGCUUCUAAUAUAGUUCCUAUGAACAUCUUGACAAU
rnacentral:misc_RNA from 1 species